GCCUCGGGGCCAGGGCCGGGGGUGAGCCCGGGGUGAGCUGCUGCUGCCCACGGCUCCCCUGGUUGCAAGCCUCGUGGGG